UCUUUUAUUUAGAAUUCCCUGACCAUAGAACCGUUGAAUGUGGCUAGGUGUGUGGCUAAAGGCAAAUCUGAGGUCUACGACUGUAAAAACCAUAUCCGCAUCAUCCAGCCAAUAGGUGACGGGAGUAGGUUGUACUUAUGUGGGACAAACGCUUUCAGCCCAAUGGACUGGGUUGUUUACGCCAACCUUUCUCACGUGGACUCGUGGAACACAAUCCCUGGUAUAGGUAACGGUGUGGCCAAAUGUCCCUUUGAUCCUGAUGAUAAUGCGACAGCCGUGUGGGUCGGU